UAGUCAUAUGCUUGUCUCAAAGAUUAAGCCAUGCAUGUCUAAGUAUAAGCAUUAUACAGUGAAACUGCGAAUGGCUCAUUAAAUCAGUUAUAGUUUAUUUGAAGAUAAUACCAUUAGGAUAACCGUGGUAAUUCUAGAGCUAAUACUUGCUUUGGGCUUUAUUAGAUAUGAAUCACAAUAACUUCAGAUCGUCUUUGACGCUUCAUUCAAAUUUCUGCCCUAUCAGCUAGAUGGCACGGUAGUGGCGUACCAUGGCAGUAACGGGUAACGGGGAAUUAGGGUUCGAUUCCGGAGAGGGAGCCUGAGAAACGGCUACCACAUCCAAGGAAGGCAGCAGGCGCGCAAAUUACCCAAUCCCGACACGGGGAGGUAGUGACAAUAAAUAACGAUGCGGGGCCAUUUGGUCUUGCAAUUGGAAUGAGAACACGAUAAAGAGGUUAACGAGGAGCAAGA
rnacentral:rRNA from 1 species